CCAAAGGCUCUUUUAAGAGCCACCCACUUUUUCAUAAAAAGAGCUG
rnacentral:ncRNA from 1 species